GCCAGAUCCAGUUGCCUGGCGACUACCUUGGCUCCCUUCACCUCCCGCAUGAUGUCACGAGCCGCUUGCUCUCCCCUCGCCAUGUCUCUGCAUGCCAAAAUCACCCGGACACCUGCAGCGAUCGAACGCCCGUUAGUGGUGGUCUUUGGCCGUCUCUUUUCCAAUUCCAGUGUUGGCCCCCGUCACAAUGGCCGUCUUCCCCUCCAGACGCACAUUUGAAGACCACUUAGGGACAAACAGAGACCUGAGGAACGAGUUACGAAGAUACGGGCGAUCAGAUGAGUAUUAAGGAGGGCCUUGACAGGACGGAAUGAAAUAAAACUCGAUUCUGUUUAUGUGACGUCGUUUGUUGAUCCUCAACAGUAACUAUAUUACAGGUUUGGAUAAAGUUAAUUCCAUCUUAGGCAAAAUGGCGAAUGCCAGAAACUGCAGUCAUCAUGUGAAACAAAGUUAAAGGUCACAGGCCGGGAACUGGCUUGGCAGCUUCACUUGACAUUUCAGUGCCUGUCUGAACUAACCUGAAGCAACAAUAUCCAACCAUCUUAAACCCACUAACAGGCUGGUUUGAAGGUCUUCUUUAUUUCACCGGUGCUGCAUCAAGAGUGAAGGUCCAGAGGAAUGAAACGCAGAGAGAGUGCGAGCGAGAGGGAGAUGGAGAGAGGAAGAAUCACAGCAUUAUUCCCACCGAGAAAUCUCAAGAAAGAGUACAUUUUUGACAUUAAAAAAAAUCACUGGAUGAGGUCUGGAGGGACGUUGAUCAAGUCCACCAAGUCCAAGGAGCUAAGCUGUGUAAGGUGAUAACCAGCUGGAGCGAUCACUUGUCCAUCCGAUGGCUAUGGAGAUGAUCACUGGACUGACCAAUAGAAACGCAGCCGUCGUCCACUCUUCACUUCCCCGGCAGCGGCCGCUCCGCC